rnacentral:sRNA from 1 species
GUAUGAAAAGGGUUUAAGGAUCUUCUCUGGAAAUCCAAAGCUUGAUAAAUCUUCUUCCUUUUACAAGUAGAGAAUAGAGAAUAGAAGAGAAAAGAGAAAAACAAUGAAGAACUAGAAGAGGACGACUUUGAGGCGGUGAGAGGCGCAAGGGGCAGCCUAAUUUUGUGGGGUGGUGAUUAGGG